rnacentral:rRNA from 1 species
GAUGAACGCUGGCGGCGUGCCUAAUACAUGCAAGUCGAGCGAACAGACGAGGAGCUUGCUCCUCUGACGUUAGCGGCGGACGGGUGAGUAACACGUGGAUAACCUACCUAUAAGACUGGGAUAACUUCGGGAAACCGGAGCUACUACCGGAUAAUAUAUUGAACCGCAUGGUUCAAUAGUGAAAGACGGUUUUGCUGUCACUUAUAGAUGGAUCCGCGUCGCAUUAGCUAGUUGGUAAGGUAACGGCUUACCAAGGCAACGAUGCGUAGCCGACCUGAGAGGGUGAUCGGCCACACUGGAACUGAGACACGGUCCAGACUCCUACGGGAGGCAGCAGUAGGGAAUCUUCCACAAUGGGCGAAAGCCUGACGGAGCAACGCCGCGUGAGUGAUGAAGGUCUUCGGAUCGUAAAACUCUGUUAUUAGGGAAGAACAAAUGUGUAAGUAACUAUGCACGUCUUGACGGUACCUAAUCAGAAAGCCACGGCUAACUUCGUG